rnacentral:lncRNA from 1 species
AUUGACAAAAAUAAAAUGCAAAAUGAAAGUUAUCAAUUUUAUGUCUAGGUGGAGUCGCAACCUAGGCGAUGCAUAGGCAGGUUUAGGAGGGCUAAGUGGGCGCCUAGGCGGACACCUAAGCGGGUUUAGGCACACUUUCUUAAUUUUAAAACGCCUAGGGACUAAUUGGGACGGUAACCAGUUGCCUAGUGUAUAAGCAGGAAUUUUCAGAAUAGUGGCUCCAACUACAAGUUCUACUUAUUUUAAUUAAAAGGGUUCUUCACAAAUAAGCUCCCUCAAAAACUAUGUUAGGUCAAAGGCACUUAAAUCUCCUUGCACUAUACACUAAAUAAGCAUAACACCAUAAAUCGAGCUGGUGCACUACUACUGAGGCCAUACUUAAAAACCAAAAUCCCGGACUGGAAAUUUCCAAAAAAAAAAAAAAAAAAAAAAAUCCCGGACUGAAAUUCGUGAUAAGAACACCGGCCAAAGAAAUAUUUUUUUUACAAACAAAGGGUAUCAAAAGCAAAGAAAUGAAUCAUACGUUGACGAAGCAAUCGUGAAAGUGAAGCCGAGUGAGGCUGGCAGUAAUCCGGGGAUCGGUCUGCAGAGCCUCUUCAAUGACUCCACGCACAAUGGUGGUGGCAUUCGGGCAUGAUUCAUCAUAAAACGUAGGAGUCAACUGAGCAUCACCACAUCCUGCACUUGCACACAAGAUUAGUAACACUGCCAAAACAUAUUUGUAAUACAAUUGAGCACUAUAAGGAGGCAUUUUUCUCAGGUGGUGUUCGAUUUUUCUAACAUAUGUUGAUCAAUGCAUAUGUGAGCCAAACGGUAUAGGUCUAUUUAUUGAGUGACAGAGUGAACUGGUAGAUGAGAAACCCGCGUUAGGUAGAUGUCAAAUUAGGUUUAUUUUUUUGGUAAAAAGUUCAAAUUAACUUAAAUAAAUAAAAAUCGAAGCCCUUUUCUCCCUUUUCUCCCUUUUUCUUCUUUACGUGAAGUGAACCAUGAUGAUAUACUGGAAUCCAGAAUGUGGGUCCCUGGAUGCAAUAUAAUCUGUCAUAUGGAGUAUCUGUGGAGUAUGAUUUUCUCUCCUCUUAUUCUCAUCUUAUUCCUUCUCCUUCUCUCACAUAUUGUUUUUUGUCUUAUUGUCUUUAUAAAAAAAUCAAUAUAAAAUGUUGACGUGAUUAAACCGUAACCAUUCAAAUAAAAGAAAAGGAAAAGGGAGAGAGAUUAGGAGGGAGGGAAUCCUCCUCCUAAAUGUUACUACCCUUCCCGCGAAAAAAGGUGAGGUUUCAAUCCAAAAGUUAGUUAAUAAUUAGAAGUGUCCCGAACUUGAAGUGUGUUUAGAUAAUAAGUUUUUUAAUUCGAUCAAUAUGGUAUCUUGAUUAAAAUUCAAAGUCCAAAUUAGAAAACAAUGUAUAAUAAUCACCGCAAGAAAACGAGACAAUAAUUGUAAAUUCUCUUUUCUUAUAAAAAAUAGGAAAAAGAGAGAAGAAUAACAUUAGUUGAAUGGGCGGAUGAAUAAACUAAUGAGUUGAAUAAAAGAAGAGAUAGUGCUAUUCACACUUUUGUUUUUAUUUUUCACACAUUCUUCGUAAUUUUCGGUUGUCAGAUCAAAUAAAUUGAAGAAUAUCACUAAUAAAAAACUAACACGGGUGUGCAAAUGUAAAAAUAAGUGUGUGAAUAGUACUUUCAUAAAAGAAGUAUCAGAUAUAUCAUGGCUUUGUUAAUUACACAAAGACAUACCUAAUUAUAACAUCUCUAGAAAUUUAGGACUUGUUUGGAAUUUUUUUUAAAAAUGACUGAAAAUAGUUUUAGAAAAAAAUAUUUUUGAGUUUCAAAACAACUUGAAGUGUUGCUUCUUGGGUUUAUUUAUAGAAAUUAUACCUAUACCAAAAUUGGGUUGAAAAACGUUAUUCACCAAAAGUGUUUUGACAAAAAUACCCUUUGUUUUUCUUUCCAUUCCUGCUUUGUUUUAUAAUGUGGAACAUGUUGUAAAAUCGACAGUGGGUGCAGUGGAAUAAAUGAAACAAGACACAAAAUUUACGAGAUUCCUCUACAGUCAGUGUGACUGGAGUACGUCCUCGGGACAGCAGUGGUGCUUUCAUUAUAAUUUAGAAUAAUAGGAGUACAAAGAUAACUCUCUCUAUUAUCUCCUCUCCUCUUCCUCUCCUUUCUCUCUUCCUCUCAUUUUCUCUCAUCCUUUCUUUCUUCCUAUCUCUCCGUGAGUCUUCCCACUUUGAUGUUGUGUGAGGUUUGUAUUUAUAUAGAAAAUAGGAGUAGUGUGUAGCAAGCUUCAGCAACCAAAAUGAAGGGCCAAUUAUUUAAUUUUUUAAAUGGACAUCCACUGUUCUACAACACUCCCCAUUGGAUGGCCAUAAGUCUUCGAUUGACUCGUUAAAAUCUGGAUCUGUUUUGAAUGCUUCCCCUGAUGAGUAUCUCCCCUGAUUUCAAAUCAUUUAGGCUGAUCGUUGAUCAUUCUGCUUCAGUCUCUUAGCAAAAAGAGUUUCCAAAAGAAGUGCUUUACUUGUUGUUAACUUUCCACAGGCUUGUUCUUGAACUGGGCUGAAGGGCCUUCUGUUAGACUUCCUCCAAAUGUUUGAAUUUACUUUUUUUAUUUGGAGCUAAAUUUAAUUCAAAUGUGGUGGACACUUGAUCUUGAAUCGGACUUGUGAUUUCUUCAAGGACUUCGAAACUUGAUCUUGAAUGAAGUUAUACCGUGAGAAGCUUCAUGUGGCAAAUGAUCUUCGGCUUUGUCGGGGAUGAAUUAGCACGUGUUUGUUGCGCUUGUCUCCACAUACUUCAAUGUAUCAUUUUCACUUGCCUUACUUGUUCCCCUUGCUUAAGUAGUAUUUUCCCUGGUUUUCCCCUAUGCAUGUGUGGCAUAUUCUCCUGUAGUAUUUGCCUUUUGAUGCAGGAGUGGAAUGCAACCCUUGCAUUUGGAUGGUUCAUCACUUCUUGGUGACUGGAGACCCAGCUCCAACAACAGUUGAAGAUGGCUACUCGAGAGCAAUACUAGGUAAGCAAUUAGGAAAUGUUUCAGGCAGUCGGUUCCUUACCGGGAGUUGGAGUGGAGGUUCCGACAUAUUUAUUUCUUUAUCCUUGUCUUUGCAGGUAAGAACAAGGACAAAGGAAAGGACAAAGAUAUUGCAUGAUAUGAGACACUCUUACUCUCGUCCAUGAAGAUAUGAGAUACUCUUGUUUCGGUGUGACUUGUUUAAAGAGGUAUUCUCGGAGAGGAAGAAAACUGAGUAUUUCGAGAUGCUUUAUUGAAGAUGCAUUCUCGGAGAUGAGAGAAAGUUAGGAGUUUUGGAUGUGUGCCUUGCCAUGGACGAUGAAGGUCGACUUAUAUAGGGAUUUCCCCAAUAGCAGGUAGUGGUGUUGUGCCUUUACUCUUGUCAGCAACUGUGGUGUAAUUAGAACAGUAAGAUUUACGCGUUUUCAACUUUGUCAGAGAUCUUUGACAAAGUUGCACGCGAUAGCAGAAAAAGCUGAGAUUGUGUCUGAAAAAUACCAACGAACUUUAUUCAGGAAAAUCUGGCUUUUGAAAUUCGGAUAGCAGUGCCUCUUCGAUCUCUGAACAAGUAGUUCUGUUGCCUCUUCUUUUAUCGAGAUAUCAAUUAUGUUCAAGAGUAUGCUCAGAAAGUUGCUGCCUGUAGAAAUUUUCCCCUUCUUGCACUUCUGAGAUUUUAUUUAACCUCUUUUGUUUUUCAUCAUUUCUGAAAAUGGCUUACCCAUCUAACAUUUGCUUAGAUUUGAGUCUUAGGAGUGAUACAGACGAGCAGCGUCAGGAUAACAUAUGGCGCCCGUCCUUCUUAUCUUCUAAUGGUCCUCUUACAAUUGUAGACUCUGUGAUGAAGAAUAACAUAACCGCUACUGUGGUAGCUAGGAAUUUUCUCACUCCAAGGGAUAAUAGAAUCAUUUCAAAACGAUCUGAUGAGUCGGCCAUUCAAGACUCUUUAGCUCUCAGUGUUCAGUGUGCUGGCUCUGUUUCUAAUAUGGGUCAACGCUUACUUGCUCAAACUCGCGAAGUUGAAUCAUUGAUGGCUGAGGUGGCAAGUCUUAAAUAAGAGAUUAGAGGGCUCAAGCACGAAAAUAGAGUGUUACACGUGCUUGCAAAUAAUUACUCUACGAGCAUGAAAAGAAAGCUCAACCAGCUGCAGGAAUCAAAAAGUCGAACUCAAAACAGUCACCAAAAGUUCGUUGCUAGAUUUCGAAAGUAACUGAUGUCUUCCCCUUUUGGUGUUUUGCCGAGUACUAGGGUGUCAUAUGAUCAAUCUCCAGUGCCUCCUCAUUAUGGGGUACUUCCGAGUACUGAGGCUUCACAUGAGCAACCUUUGUGAAGGCUUCAUCCUGUUUAUUUGUUUUGACUCAUGUGUAUGCACAUAUCUGUAAUUUCUCGGAGAUAUUAAUAGAUAAGCUUUAUUUCAUUCAGUGUAUUGUGCCAAAUACAAUAAAGCAUAUACUUCACUAAGAUGUGGUACUUUUGGACCAAACAUUAAUUUAUCUUUACCCUCACGAAGAUAAAUGAUCUUUCUUAGUGUUUACAUCAUUUGAGUAUUCAACUCAUAAUCUUUAAUCCAUAUGGUUCUUUUAAUAUCAUAGACAUCAUGGAUAAGAUUCGUGUUGGUAUAUUGUUUGAUCUGCAGCUCGAGACAAUAUUUCUCUCAACACUUUAUAAUCUUUCUUGACUCUUUAGGAGUCUCAAUUUAAUAUCAUCAACUCUUCAGGAGUUCUAAUUUAAUGUCAUUGACUCUUGCAAGAGAUUUUAGUAUGUUGCAACAAUAUCAUAAUGAUAGUACUCACUAAGGCAAUUUAUACCAUCCAUUGGUAUUGAGUACAUAAUUUAGGCUUUACCCUUCGGGGGCUUACUUCAAGCAAUUUGAAUCAUUCAGGGAUUUUCUACACUUUAUGACACAUUUUCCUUUGGAAUUUAUACAGUGCAAUUUGCUCCCAUGUAUACUUGAGGGAUUUACUUAUGGAGAUAUGAUGUGGGUGACUCACAACCCUUCGUAUAUAAUUCUCCAUUCAUAUGAACUCGUUUACAAGAGUAUAAUUAGUAACCUUGUGUCAUAUCAUGUAAGUGUAUUUCAUUGUAUUACAAAUGCUUAUAUGUAACCUUAUUGGUUCAACAUAUUUUGGCUAUUCAAAUAUAUAUAGGUCCAUUUUUCCACAUUCUUACAAAAUUGUAAUGGAAUCGCCUUUCUCCAUUUUUGGCCAAUAAUUUUGUUGACGAAAAAGAAUGAGACUCAAUAUCAACACAGCUCAUUGAUGAAUUUAGUAGCUACUUAUAAAAACCAAAAUUACCAUUGGUUAUCAUCAAUCCGUGAUCCCAUAUUCUCAUGUGCAUGCGCAUGCAUAAAAACUUUUCAUUUAUUUGGAUAUCCAUUGCCUCUCCAAGGGCAUUACACUAUCUAUUUCAGGAUAGUCAUAAUUUAGAGAAUGCGGAUCAUAACCUCUUCUUGAGCGUUAUAGAGCUUGAAUUUUAAUUUCCACUUCUAGGAGUUGAGUCAUUGGAACCUAUGCAUCUAUCAUGCUUCAUGCAUGAGACAUUAAUAUUCCCAUGUCCGUGGAUUGUCCUUUUUGGGACGUAUAUCCAUACGGCGACUGUCAUGCUUCUGGCAUGCAACAAUUAUGCUUCGGGAAUGCAAUAGUUCAAUAGUGCCAUAUUCUUCUUCUUUCGAAUGACUGAACGUUUUGAGUCUAAGGGUCUGCCAUGCUUCAGGCGUGCAACAGAUAAAUCAUUUAUCGCCUCAUUAUAUUGUCUAACAGGGACAUUAAUUCUUGUAGGCACAUUUGCAGCAAGUAUAUAUGAUUUUUUUAUCACUUUCGUUGCAUUAUUAAAAUGGCAUUUGGCAUUUGAAAACAUCGUUUGCAUCAUUCAAUUAUUCUUACUUCAUUUUCAUAUUGAUUGCUUCGUGAAUCAAAAUAAGACAAAUUUCUUUCUUCUGGAACGGUCUUUUCUUAUCAUUCUUCUGGAAUGAUAUUUUUUUCUCAUUCUUCUGGAACGAUAUAAUUUUCUCCCCUAGCGGGAAUAUUGUCUUAUCAAAAUGACAGUCUGCAAACCAUAAAAUAUCCCUAGUCAAGGUUUUUCCAAAUAUGAAUGAUAGAUGGUUAAUCAAAUUCAACAUAAAAUUCCCAGUUUGUAUCGAUGCCUUAUUUUAUACAUUAAAAUUUAAUAAUUUAUAACCAAAAACUCGAGUGUUUAAUGUUUGGCUAGUGCCUAAACACGAGUUGUACUAAGAAAUUUAAUUUGUAACUUAGUGUCAAAAUGCUUAAUAGUGAAUUCUUGUAAAUUUCGUUUUCAUGUCCAUAAGUAGAAAACUUGCAAUUUCGUUUCAUGAGCAGAGCGUGGGUAAUCAAUUUCAUCCGCUUAAUAAAAUGCUUCUACUAAACCAUUUUAAGUAUGGACAUAAGGAACUUCUGGUCCUAUUAAAUAGUUUGUGGAUUGAGACUUUUAUGACCUUUAUUACAAUUAAGUUGAGGCACUGCGGCACUUCAAACUUAAGGUAAUUAUCAAGAAACUUCAUGUCCGAUCUUGAGGAUCUAGGGAUUUCAUGCCUGAUCUUUUUGCAUGAUGGAACUUGGGGUUCAAUCAUUUUUUAUGUGAUGAGGAUCAAGAAACUUCAGGUUCUGAUCUGAUCAAGGAACUUUGGGUCUUAUAUAUACUUAUCGUAACAAAAGGUAAGUACAAUAAAUAAAUUAAAGCAAUAGGCAGUAAUUCCAGACAUAGUAAAUAAAUUGCAUUUAAGUAAAUAAAGCUUGUGACAAGGGCUUUAAUUUAACACCAUUCAUAUAAAUCAAAACUUAAAGCAGUAGGCAGUAAAACUGUCCAUGAUAAAUAAAUUGCUUUAAAGUAAAUAGAACUUGUGAAAGUGUUUUAAACCAACACCAUUCACAUAAAUAAAUAUAUAUAUAUAUAUAUAUAUAUAUAUAUAUAUUUCUUUCUUUUCUAAUGGUACAAACACCAUCCAAAAGCUUUUAUGUCACAUCCCGGCCUGGGGUGGACCACUUCCCAGGCCCGCUCCACCACCGUAGCACGAUAUUGUCCACUUUGGGCUUACCACGCCCUCACGAUUUUGUUUCUGAGAACUCACGAGCAACUUCCCAAAGGGUCACCCAUCCUGGGAGUGCUCUGGCCUCAUUCUAGCUUAACUUCGGAGUUCCUACGAAACCUAAAGCCAGUGAGCUCCCAAAAGGCCUCGUGCUAGGUAGAGAUGAGAAUAUACAUUUAAGAAUUACUCCCCUAGGUGGGUGAUGUGGGAUGUUACAUUUUAUCUUUUUUGUUUUUAUUAUUUCUUUUUCACAUGUUGUGUCGGCAUUAUGCAACGAGAUUCCACCCUUUUUUCAUAUAGCACCAAAACCCUUUUUAUUAUUUUUCAUUCAAAUGGUGCAGAUGCAUCAUUAGAAACCUUUGUCCAAAAAGUCCACUUUUCCAAUUCUUUUUCACACGGUGCUUGAAACACCAUUCCAUAAUCCUUCCUUCAUUUUUCUUAUCUGUCUGUCUGUACUAGUCUUAAACCCAGGGCCAUUUGGGUUGUUGUGGAGGUCACACAGAACCUAUUCAAUCUAAUAAGGCUACCAGAGACUGGCGUUAUUCUUGCAUGGCCCAGAGAACAUGGCGUCGCAAAGCAAGAACUUCCCUAUAGGGACAUAGAUGACAGCGGAGUUGAUGGAGGUACAAGAGAGGGAGGCAUGUGUGGAGUCAGUCAUGCCAUCACCAUCUCAGACAACCGAUUAUUCAUGGGAGUUCUCGAGAUCUGUCAAAAACGACGCUAUCUGGGUUUCCAAGUCUGAUGAGAUUCUUCUGGAUCUCUGGAACCAAUUGUCAAGUACGAGUUUUCUCAUCUCGUGACGACUUCAGGUCGUUGUAAAUUUCAAUUCUUACUGGAAUUUGGUGGGGCGGGCGCUUCAGGCGCAGUGGAGAGACAGAAAAUGGACAUACCUUUUAUUUAUGUGAUAUUUUGGCUAGCAGAGGUAAGGUAGGUAACGCUUUACCAGAUUUAUGGCGUUGUGCUUUCCAUUGACAUGAGAGCUUUCUCGUGCUGAUAACGUGUUGUAAAAUCGACGGUGGGUGCAGUGGAAUAAAUGAAACAAGACAAAAAAUUUACGAGAUUCCUUUACAGUUAGUGUGACUGGAGUACGUCCUCGGGGCAGCAGUUGUGCUUUCAUUAUAAUUUAGAAUAAUAGGAGUACAAAGAUAACUUUCUCUAUUAUCUCCUAUCCUCUUCCUCUCCUUUCUCUCUUCCUCUCUUUUUCUCUCAUCAUUUCUUCCUUCCUAUCUCUCUGUGAGUCUUCCCACUUUGAUGUUGUGUGGGGUUUGUAUUUGUAUAGAAAAUGGGAGUAGUGUGUAGCAAGCUUCAACAACCAAAAGGAAAGGCCAAUUAUUUAAUUAUUUGAGUGGACAUACACUGUUCUACAACAUAACAUGGUAUUUAGAAAUUUUCCCUUUGAUACAUGUUGGCUACGUGUGCCAACGUGGGACUUCCAGACAUCAUUGAUAAUCUCGGAAGGGAGAAAUUUUUAAUUGUGAUAUGAACAUGAGUGGUACAUCAUGUGUUUUUAUGUAACUGAUGAGAAAUUUUACUUUUUAAGUUAGUAGCUUUUUAACACACAUAUCCCACUAUUUGUAUAAUGACACGUGGUGUACCACCUCGUGUGUUGGUCACAAUGAAAAAUCUAUUGAAGUAAGGGGUAUUUCCCCCUUUUUUUUCUCUCGAAUUCUCUCUAUAAAAAACUAAACCACGGCCGCCACUUUUCUUAUCCCCCAACCGCCGAUCUCGUCACAGUUUGGUAUGAACCAAAUGGAUUUCUUUUUAAAACAAAUCGACAUGACUAUGAAUAUAUCAGCCGACUUGAAGGAUUCGAUGGUCACAUACAUUAUUUGAGUAUAUCAUGUGUGUGUUUUUUUUUUUAUUGGUGAAUUAUCAUGUGUGUGCUUUAAGUAAUAGUUGGAUCACCUGCAAAGAACUCUAUGGUCUCAUUUUCUAGAAAGUAAUGACAACUAUCAUGCAUAAGACUAAGGGCUGGUUUGGUAUUGCUGUGCUUUGAAAAAAAGCUGCUGUGAGAAUAAGCGGCUGUGAAAUAAAGCCAGUAGAGUGUUUGGUAAACUUUUUUGUGAAAGUGCUUUUGAAAAAAAAAGCAGGAUGAUAGUGUGUCUUUUCAUUAAAGGAGCACUGUAACUCCGUGUGCUUUGAAAAAACUGGCUUUUUUUCAAAGCAGCAAAUAGCAGCUUCACCUUUUCCUUUGAUUUUCAGCUUACUCUCACAGCAGCUUCCAAAAUAAGCUUUUUUUUUUUCAGUUUACCAAACACAAAAAUGACCCUCAGCUUUUUUUCACAAUGGUUUUUUUUAAAAUCACCUCAAUCCCAAACGGGGCCUAAAAGCAACCACACAAAAGUCUUUUUAGCCACCCACAAGUCGAAAACUACUAUUGUGCAUGUCACAUAAGCAAAAUUUUCACUCUUCCAACUUUAUAGCCAAUCGUGCAAAUUAUUGGUAAAUUUGACGGUGAUCGCAUUAACCUUCUCUUCAAUGCAUGACAUGUGGAAAAAAUCAUCAUCAAACAGAAGUUUGAUAUUAUGCACGUGUCCCAUCUUUAUUUGCGCGUUUGUGUUUGUUUUUUAUUUCAAUAGGUUGAAGAAAAAAAGCACUGGCUCGAGCAAGAAGGCUGCAAGGGUCCGAACAAGCUUAAGAGGAUUGCAAGUUGCAAGUACCUUCUUCGUUUUCAUGUAUGUUUCACUUUUACUAUAAUUUAGUUUUUCUAGUUAUAAUUGUAUAAAUUUUUCGUUCAAUUUAAUAUAAAGGUUCAGCUCAAAAGUUUAAGAUUAUAAUCCACUUUGUUUCGAUUUUUGAUCUCUUGGUGUUUCAAAGACAAAAAACAACACACGAUCCACAUAUCAAUAAAAGGCUUUUAGUCCAUUCCCAUUUAUAGAAUUUUGCCGACUCUACUGCUGUAAAAGGGGCUUAAUAGUGCAAAAGUACGAAACGAAACAAAAAGAGGAAGGGCGAGAGAGAGAUGCAAUUGGGUAUUUGUCGGAUCGAAGCUCUUCCAUACCCUUCCAUUAUCUCCACCGACUCCUUGACUAAAAGAGAGUGUUUUUUGUCUCAUUUUCUCAUCAUAGCUAAAGCUAGAAAGUAUGUUUCAUAUUUUCCCUGUCCGCAACUGGGAUUAGGAGAAAGAGAUUGAGAGAACAGAGGUUGAUCUAAAUCAUCAAACACAAGCAUAUGCCUGUUUCCAUUUGUCAACUUACAAUUUGAAUAGCUUGGGUAACGAUUAUGUUGACCCUAAAAACUAUCAGGUUUACGUGGCCCACAGACCGAGUAAUUAAUAAGCUAACUACGUCAUUCGGUUAUGUGCAGGGCGUGCCAACUCGACGGCCAAGCUCGAUCGGGGAGUAAAAUGUGUUGUUGUGUUGGGCAUUGCUGACUUCUUGAUCCUGCUAUUGCGGCCGAGGUAGAAACACAUCUAGCCUUUUGGGUUCCAGAGCCUGAAGACACGGCUGCUAGUUCUGUGAGUUCACAAAUCGUCAACGCCGGGUUCGGUCAUGGUGAUUAUAUUCGUAAUAGUAUAACCACACCGAACUAGCACCAGACUAUAUGGACACAAGUACUCGAAAGUGACGUAUGUCUUGAUAGUAAAUGUGGUUCAACCGUCGGAAUGUCGGACUCUGAAUCUCACUUGCGAAUAUCCAAUCAUAAAACAACUCGGCGUUCAAUGUGCCGAGCCUAGUAACCUGUAACACCUCACUUCGUUGAGAAGGUUGAUGAGAUGACCUCUACCAGCAAGAACUCGAAAGUCACUAUCGACCGGGACUUGGAUAAAUAACCAGUAGGUCUCGAAGCAGUGCUGUUUAUCCAAACUGAAGGAGGUUCUCCUCGGUCGGUUGAUUCUACGGCUCCAGUACUGUGCUACAUUGGUUCUGUUAAUAAAGCUUCUUGGUUUCGGUGUUGUGCAGGUUGAAUGGUAAGAAGAUGUUGAGAUUGUUGACGGGGAAGCGUCUGGUUUUUGUUGGCGAUUCUCUCAACAGGAACAUGUGGGAGUCUUUGCUAUGUGUUCUUAGAAACUCAGUGGAUGAUAAGAACAAAGUCUAUGAAGUUUCUGGUAGGCAAGAAUUUCGCACAGAGGGCUCUUACUCCUUUGUUUUCGAGGUAUGUUAGUUUCAAUUUCAUAGACUCAUAAAUUCUUCCUUCUUACCUUUCGGCCUUGUUCAUCUUAUUAAGUAAUAUUAAUGUAUUUGUUGUUCAAUGGAUCAAUAGGAGUACAACUGUUCCGUGGAGUUCUUUCAAUCACGGUUUCUAGUUCAAGAAUGGGAGAUGCUGGAACCAAGUGGAUCAAAGAAGGAAACGCUUCGCAUUGAUUUGAUUGAGAGAUCCUCUGACAACUACAAAAAUGCAGAUGUUCUCAUCUUCAACACAGGUCACUGGUAGACUCAUGAGAAAACUUCCAGCGGGUAAUUCUCCUGCUCCAAUUCACUCUAUGUCAUGGAUUUUUUGGAAAGUAGUCACUAGGCAGCGAAGUUAAAAUAUUUAUAAAUCUUGCAGGAAGGGUUACUAUCAAGAGGGUAGCCAUAUUUAUGGUGAACUGAAUGUUGACGAUGCAUUUCGCAAGGCUUUAACGACAUGGGCUCGAUGGAUAGACACCAAUGUAAAUCCUAAGAAAACUGCUGUUUUCUUCCGGGGCUAUUCACCUUCUCACUUUAGGUACAUUUUGAAGACAUGAAAUACUUCAACUUGGUUAACAAAUGUAUUGCAUCUUGCUAAUCUUUUUACUCACAGAGGCGGAGCAUGGAAUUCUGGAGGGCAUUGCCAUGGCGAAACAAAGCCAACUACCAGCUUGGAAUCCACGGAAUAUGGAGGAGCGUAUCCAACAAACAUGAAAAUCUUUGACUCGGUACUCAAGGGGAUGAAGACGCCAGUCAACUAUCUGAACAUUACAACAAUGACUGAUUUUCGGAAGGAUGCUCAUCCAUCGAUUUACAGAAAGCCGAAUUUAACUGAGGAGGAGCGAAAACCGCCUAUGAUCCACGAUUGCAGUCACUGGUGCCUCCCUGGCGUUCCUGAUACAUGGAACGUGCUAAUAUAUGCUCAACUCCUCAAACAUAACCAGAAACAACAUAGACAGAAGAAACAGCAAAAUCAGAGGACAACUUCUUAAAUAUGGAGAAAAAAAAUUAUAAAGUAUACAUGUUUUGUUGGAAAGCUCACCGUACGGAGAAUAUCGAACAAGUAUGAUCAAACGAAGGAUAAGAGCAAUAGUUGUAGACUUGUAGUUAGAAAAAGAGAUGGCGCAAUGUGGUUUAGUGAAAAAUUGUGUUUCCAGUUGUGGGAUAGAGGUGGUGAGGGAAACAGGAUUUAGCCCUUGCGUCCUCUCUGGUGCAUUUGAAGGAGAGGCUUGAAAAAUCGGUGACUCGAAACAGCGAGUGCCGGUGAUCAUGGUGGUCGCAGAAGCUGGUUUUGGUAUUGAGAAGGUCAUGAAUAUAAAAUUCUGGUAUGGUACUGGUUUAACGCCACAAUGUGCAGUUGUGGUUGCAACUUUAAGAGCCUUAAAAUGCCUGCAUGACUGAGACUGUGGCUGAAGCCGGUUACAUGAAAUUUUCCAGGCAUGUCUCAAACACGAAACACUAGAGUGUAAGCGUGGUUGUUACUGCAAACAAAUUUUCGAUUGAUAGUGAAGCAGAACUAAAUGCAGUCAGAAAUAUGCAGCAUUGUGCAGCCGGGGCAUAUGAGCACUUAAUUAUACUCAUCAUGCACUUUGUGGAAAAGAAGCGGUUAGUCACUUCAUCCCAUUAGUCUUAUUAUUGGCAAUAGGAAUUGGACAUCAAUUUCUUGUAUCCGAAGAAAUGAGUCACUAUUAAUAUCGACACAUAUGAGAUCGCCAGCCCUUCGGGAGUUCCUCUAUUUUCUUCUUGCUUGCAAUUGCCUUCGCCUAUGAGCGGUAGGUCUCGGGUUCGAGACUUGGGAGCAGCUUCUCCAUAAAUGGGGGUAAGGCUAGCCGACAUUCACCUCUCUCAGACCUUGUGUAAAGCGGGAGCCUUGUGCACUGGGUACGACCUUUUGCAUUGCAGAUCCUACUAAAACUUUCAAUCCCAGUUUUAUACUGUGGUUGGAACAACGAGCACAAUGCCGGAUUUUCUGACUAGGCCUCGCUUCUAUCACAUUGAUCUUGACACCACCUAUCGGAAAUUAGGUUAUCAGUCUUGCUUGAAAAUCAAUGUAUAUGGCUCUCAUAUGCUCACCGAAGCAACAUUUUCCGACGUCCAUCAAACAAAAGCCGGCCACCAUCUCUUCCCCCUUACAAAUUACACUUCUGCAAACUUCUGUUAUUGUGCUCUUUGAUUGUUAUGUCAGUUUUUUGCAUUACCAAAUAACAAUGUCACAAAUAAAAACAAAUUUUUGUGUCACCUUUUUUAGCUUGCUACGUACAAAUGCUGUUAAAAUUUUACCACAUUAUAAUUUCCUCUUUCAAACAUUGACUCCACUCUUUUUUUAACUAUUAUUAAGGAGAGAGAAGACUCGAAACUAUUACAUUAAUUUAAGAGAUGUGGAGUUUCAAACCCGAAAUGCAUGUAGGGUUGGAAGCUUCUCGGGUUCGAAACAUCGAAUCCACUCUGCAUGCCACUUUUACUACGAAAAAGGGAACCACUUUAAUUUUGUUUUAUUAUCAUUCUUGGCUGUUCAUGAUUUCACUUUAACUACAUAACAUUUAAUUGAUAAUUACUCAAAUCAUAAAAAUAUUGGUUCAGUGUUAGAACAUUUAUCUUGGUAUUCUAAUGAAAGAAAAAAAUAAUUGAACUCAUACUGCUAUCAUAUUUAUGAUAUGGAUAAGUGUGUAUAAUACCUGUAUAUAGAAAUCAGACAACUUAAAUUUAAUAUUUAUAACACUACUGAUACACUAAUGUGAGUUUACUUCGUUAAUAUCACACUUAUGAGCGUAAUAUAUCACAAUCAUAAGUUCAAUAUAUUGCUAUCAAACUCAAUUUUUUUGACCAACUGCAAUGCAAGAGUGUGACUCCUAUAUAUGUAAAUAUAGGGAUGUGAUAUCUACACACCAUUUUUUACUUCUCUCACACCCUUUUAAUUUUCGGCCGUCGGAUCGGAUGAAUUGAAGAAGAUUAAAGGACAAAAAUUAACAAGAGGUGUGAUACCCUGUAAAUAAAAAAAGGUGUGAUAAGAUUGUUAAUAAAUGGAUAUACUGUUAUAAACGAAUGAAUUGGUAAAAUUAUCAAAUAAUGUGUGGUCACGCAAAAAAAUUACUCCAAAUCAAAGUGAGAGGGACGUGAGAUAUUUUUCUUACAAAAAAAAAAAAAAAUAUGCCACUUGUUCAUAAAUUAUUAUUACAUCUGCAUUUGUUUUUUAUGUUCAAUUACAUCUGCAUUCUUAUAUUCAAAAAUAGCAACUUUCAACCGUGCAAGUAGACUAAAGGUUGAUUUGAUAUUGCUGUUAUUUGAAAAAAAAUUACUUCUGUUGUAUUGUGAGAAUAAAUAGUUGUGAAAUAAAGCAGUGUUUGGUAAACUUUUUUUGUAAAACUGCUUUUGAAAAAAAAAGCAGUAUUAUAGUAUUUAAUAAACUUUUAUGUAAAACAGAUAUAAAAAAAAGUUGAUUUUUCAAAGUUGGGUUUUACAGCUUUGUGUUUUUGAUUUUUUUUCCACUCAAAACUGUAAAAAAAAACAAAAACCAAAUGUUUACCAAAUAUAAAAACAUUUUUUUAUAGCCAUUUUUUUUCACAAUUACCUCAAUACAAAGAGCUAACCACCAAACUGAAAAGUGGUCUUCACAGCAGAAACUGUAUGGAAAAUUAAUUCUUCCACCCACACAGGUCACAGGCUCGCAAACAAUGGCGGAUUACUCAACCCAGACAACCCCAAAACCCACAAAGCACCACCACUCCCCCACAAUCCCAAGACCAGAGGCCUUCUCCAAGCCCUCUCUUUCUUCCCCAAUCUUCUUCCCCUCCAGAAGAACCGCCGCCUUUGCCUAUGGCUUCUCGUUCGUCUGCAUCGCUUGCACUUUCUUCCUGGUUUUCAACCCAUCUGGCUACUCUUUCCCUUUCGGCUUCAAGAACAUCUUCAAAACCCCUUUUGAACUUUCCCGGGAAACCCCAUUUUCCUGGAAAGCUGAAUAUUUCCCGCGUUUGGAUGAGAGUGUAGGUUUGCAGUCUGAUAUGGCUAGUGCCCAACUGCCGAACCCAAUUCUUUUCUUGCCCCAAGAAUCCAAUCAGACUUUGUCCCAGAACACUACGAUUCAAGUAACUGGGAAAAUGGGAUUUUCCGGGAAACUGGAGGGUUCAAGAAAAAAUGAAUCUUUUGCUAAAGAUUCUGAUGGGGUUUUGGGGCAAGCAGUGGCAUUGACCUCGAAAGAGAGUGAUGAUGCUAGUGAGGCAUUGUCUGAAUCUGAGAAGCAGAGCAAUCAAACUCAGCCCGGUUAUGAAUUUUCGAGGGAUGAUUGUGACCUGUUUGAUGGAAUGUGGGUGAGAGAUGAUUCGUAUCCGCUUUAUGCUCCGGGUUCUUGUCCUCUUAUUGAUGAAUCCUUCAAUUGUUUUCUUAAUAAGAGGCCGGAUAAUCGCUACGAAAAGUAUAGAUGGCAACCCAAACAUUGCAAUCUUCCAAGGUGCAGGGCUGUUUUUACUUCUGAUUUAAAAGCAUGUUUUGUUUGUACAUUGCAUUGCAUUUGGUUUUGCUUCUAAAAAAGGUCGUACCCAGUGCACAAGGCUCCCGCUUUACGCAGGGUCUGGGAAAGGUGAAUGUCGGCUAGCCUUACCCCCAUUUGGUUUUGCUUCUAAAUUAAGGUAAUUUUGCAUGACUAGUUCGACUUCUAAAGUUAGCAGUUUUAGGAAUUUGUGCUUGUUAUGGUUGUUUUUCAUAAGUGCAAAUUUACUUGUUUGCAAAUUAAUCUUGUGAGGAUCAAUAUAACAAUUACUUGUUAUGACAGUUUAAAAUUCACACUGAAUUUCUGUUUUUAAAAACAACGGAGUUUCGUUGUGUGUACUAAUGUGUCUGCGUGUGUAUGUUUAUGUUUUAUGCUUAUGCAUUCGUGUAUUGUUUUUGUUGAAUAAAGCUUGUUGGUUCAGAUUUGGUGAUGCCGGUUUCUGGUGAACUUUUUGUGCAGGUUGGAUGGUAAGAACAUGUUGGGACUAUUGAGAGGAAAGCGACUGGUUUUUGUUGGGGAUUCUCUUAAUAGGAAUAUGUGGGAGUCUUUGCUUUGUCUUCUUCGAAAUUCAGUGGAUGAUAAAAGUGGAGUUGUUGAAGCGUUGGGUAGGAGCGAAUUUCGUUCAGAGGGAUCUUACUCUUUCGUAUUCAAGGUAUGUUCGCUAUCUUGGAAUUCAAGGUAUGUUCUCUGACUUCGAAUUCAUAGCCUGAUAAAUUCUUCCUUCUCUCCAUUGGAUUUGUGUCGUUGCUGAAUUUCAUUUUGACCAGAGUGAAUUAGAUAGUUCACAACACUAGACCAGAUAUAAUUUGCUAAUGACUUGAGAAUUCAAACAAGUAGAAAUAUUUACGUGUUUUUUUUUUUCUGGAGUGGAUGAAUAGGAGUACAAUUGCUCAGUGGAAUUCUUUCGAUCGCCAUUUCUAGUUCAAGAAUGGGAGAUGGCAGAUGCAAAUGGAUCAAUAAAGGAAACGCUUCGCCUUGAUUUGAUUGAGAGAUCCUCCGAUAAGUACACAAAACUGCAGAUGUUCUCAUCUUCAACACAGGUCACUGGUGGACUCAUGAGAAAACUUCCAGAGGGUAAAACUCAUUCUCCCUCUCACUCUAUGUCAUUAAUUAAUUUUCGGAACUCGGAAAUACUAAACGAAUAUAAGAAUCUUGCAGGAAGGGUUACUAUCAAGAGGGUAGCUACAUCUACGAUGUAUUGAACGUUAAAGAGGCAUUUCGGAAAGCUUUAACAACAUGGGCAAGAUGGGUGGAUACCAACAUAAAUCCUGAGAAAACUAUUGUUUUCUUCCGGGGCUUUUCACCUAAUCACUUUAGGUACAUAGACCACAUCCAGUACUUUUUAACUUUUAAAACCUCACGGUUCGUUCACAAAUAUACAGCAUCUUCAUAAACCUUUUACCCUUUGCAGAGGUGGAAGAUGGAAUUCGGGAGGGCAAUGCCAUGAUCUAAUAGAGCCACUUGCAAAGGAGACAAAUAGAGGAAAAUAUGCAUCAAAAUUGAGAAUAUUUGACUCAGUAAUCACUGGAAUGAAGACGCCAAUAUUCUAUCUAAACAUUACGAGAAUGACUGAUUUCAGGAGGGAUGCUCAUCCAUCGAUUUACAGAAAGCAGAAUUUUACAGAGGAGGAGCGGAAAUCGCCUUUGAGACACCAGGAUUGCAGUCACUGGUGCCUCCCUGGUGUUCCUGAUACAUGGAAUGAGCUUCUAUAUGCUCAGCUCGUUCGACAUAACCAGAAGCAACAACAACAGCAGCGUCAAGACCCACAGCGACAGAAACCCUAGAUAAAUGAUUAGACAGAUGCCUUGUAUAGAUGGGAUCAUGUCAAAAUAGUUUUGGAGAAAAUGUUUUCUGUUGCAUCUUUCUAUAGGAUUGUAGGAGGAAACAAAAUGAUGUGAUAUUCUUUGUAAAAUUGAGUCUCGGUAAUAUAAGCUGAUAAUAUCUUUUUGUGCAAAUGGAAGUAAGAUGAUAAUUGUGAGUUCUGUCAUAUGAGUUAGAAGAUGAGAUCGUUGCUCUCGUAGCCAUGGUCGUCACAACCAUCAUACGAAGCAAAAGCUUAACUAGGUUUACGAUUACACAACCAUAAUUAUUUCAAAUAAUGCUCAACACCAGAGUAGCAGAUGAUCCAUAUGUACGGUGUUAAAUGAACAAACUGUUCCACACGAAGCAAGUGAAUGAGAUCAGUCGGUAGACUCAGCACAGCCUUAGGAGAAAGGCUUAACUACCACCAAAUAGGCGAUCGUGAUGGUAUUUCAAACUAAUUUCGCACUACAUGUGAGCGAUCGAUAUUUAUUUAGAAAAUAGUCAUAAUGGCGUACACGUUGUAGCUGUAAGUCCUUCUCCACCCCCGUGCAAAGAACACGUGAAAUAUGCAUAUAUGAAUCUCUGCGGUGUGAAGGAAACAAAAUGCUCCAAUGAAGCAAGUGAGAUCACUCAGCACGGCCCAGGAAGAAAGACAACUACACCGAUUGUGCACAUCUGAUCUGACCAUUGUUUUAAUUUAAUUUGUAGAAAUGAAACUAGGGUCUUCAAAAAUUGAGGAAUAUUCAGCAGCAUAAAGGUGAUGUUACCACUAGUUGUAGAAACAUGGGGGUCUUUGGAUUGUUUGAUGGAUGUGUUUUGAGUCAAACAAUUACUAGAAGAGCAUAGAAUUUCCGUUAUGUUGGUUUAUGAUGAUCUUCUUUUGCAGGUUGGAUGGUAAGAACAUAAUGGGAUUAUAGUGAGGAAAGCGCCUAGUUUUUGUUGGUGCGUGAUUCUCUUUGAGGGAAUAUGUUAGAUCAUCCAUCGGUCUGUGUCUUGUUAGAAGUUCAUUGGAUGAUAAGAGCGGAGUUGUUGAAGCCUCUCGUAGGAGCAAAUUUCGUACACAAGGAUCUUGCUCGUUCAUAUUCAUGGUAUGUUGUUGAGUUGUUCAUUAGCCAUUUCGUUACAAGCAGAGUGAAUGAGAAAGUUCGCACCACUGGAUACAAUUUGCUAUGACUUGAGAUUUCCAAUUCAAACAAGUAGAAAUUUAUGUUUGUAGUGGAAUGGAUCGAUAGGAGUAUAACCGUUCGUUGUAAUUCCUUUAAUCACCAUUUCUAGUUCAAGACUAGGAGAUGCCUCCUAGUUAACUGAGCUUUCUUCUGCCAUUCUUUGUAAGCUGAAAGAAACUCAAGAACAAGGACAUGCAGAGACUGGCCUGAGGAUACCCGCUCUGAUACCAUGUGGAAAAAUGAUAAAAGUGUGUGUGCGCGUGUAUAUAUAUUCAAUAACAUUUCAAUUAUACGUCACACAGAUUGGAGGACGUUUAAGUAGCAACAAGGAGAAGAUGUACACACCACAACUUUCUCCUUUAGUUAAACCUUGACUGCGGGAUUUGUCUAAGCAACAAACAUCCAUGAAUUAAGGCAAAUGAUUUCGGGAGUAAGAGUGAAACAAAGAAAACCCGAGUUUCCAUGAUAUAAGCUGAUAAUAUAUAUCUUCUUCAAAUAUAUGUGGUUGAUUAUAGUGAAUUCGAUCUGUCUUUUUUCAAGUUUACCGAGAAAAGUGGACUAGUAGCCAUAGAAGCUCAAAGAUGAGCUCGGUACUUGUAGUAAUGAUCAUCACCAUCAUCACAUGAAGCAUCAAGCUUAACUAGUUUUACAUAACCUUAAUUAAUUUAAUUAAUAUUCAGCUACCAAAGUAGCAGCUGGUCCAUAUGAAUCUCCAUUAACCCUACGGCAGUUCAAUCGAAUCUCUCCAUCAGUACCGGUCAAGGGGCUUAUAUUCCCCAUUUUAAUCAUGGAUUCCACGAAACUCUCAAAGAAUGCGCUCUGAUUAGUGCUGAAGUUGUUAACAAUGUCGGUGGUAUCAGCCCCGCUAGUUGAAAACAGCUCUUGAUCGCUUUGGAGCAAGCCUUUCUGGACUUGAAGAUUCGAGAAAUACUUUGCAUCAAAAGUGUCGGGCGUUACAGGAUCCAAAUUGGCUAGCACACUGCUAUUCCCAUUCUGCGGGCAUAUCUCACUCAGUGUUUGUAAGUAGGUUGAGUUCAAGGUUGGAUCAGGACUGCCUGUGCCGCUGAAGUUAUACAAUCGAUUGGUGAAAGAUUGACAUCUAGCACGCCCAAAUGUGUGAGCACCUGUCAAUUUUGCAUGUCAAAUUUUGUUAAUAUAAAGUAAAGCAACAUAGUGAGGAUAUUUUUUUUUUUGUAGCCGUGCGAUCUGCUUGCUUACCAGAUAGUGCAACCAGAUCAGUGGUGUUGAGGCCUACAGCUAAGAAGUUGGCCUUGAGUCCAUCAAGUGUUAAAGUAGGAGCUGGAAUGGCUGCGUUGGCAGCCGUGCGGUUCGCUGUUGUGCUAUCCCUUCUUCCCAGUAGCACUGUCCAUGAAGGACCUCCAGACUGUAACCAUAGAUUAAUUACUCAAUUACAAUAUCUCACGAAACAAAUGCUUUAAAUUGUUGUUGAAGCUUGAAAUAUAUACCAAAGCAACAGAUUCUUCGGCAGCAAUGGUGAGAAUAUCAGCACAGGAAACGAUGGCGGGACAAGCAUUCUCCAAUGCAGUCUUGAUACUGUCCACAACAUCAAAUCCUCUGGCUGAGUUGUUAUUUGCAAAUGCUGUUUUUUCGCUGUCUAUGGUACUGGUAGAACUGGUACUAUUGUCCAACAGAAUUGAUCCAUCGCAACCCUGAAAUAGAAUCAACAAGUUCUUUUCAUCUCAAAAUUGCACGUUUGGAAUUUUACUUCUUCUGAAGUUCUAUAAACAAAGAAGCAGCUGCUAAUAAAAGCACUUUUGUGCUUGGGCAUUGUUCCGAAGUCCUGUAACAUAGAAGCUGCCAUAUAUACAAAGUAAUCUUGAUUGGUAUUUCAAAGUUGAAUAUGUUGCUCAGCUUAAAUCUUUGAAUAACUAAAGCAUUGCAUCUGAUACUAUGAUAUAUUUUCAGGGAAAUUAUUAUUAAUUCCAUAUGGAUAAAAGGAAAAGAAAACAUGGGCAGAUCUUUUUGUGCUCCAACUACAAGUUCUAUUGCUACAAUUGAAUUAAAAGGGUUCUUUACAACUACGCCAGUCAAAACUGUUGAGAAUGAGUCUCAUAUUGAUGGAAUGAAGGAUAUUGCAUGAGCUUAUAAGUAAGUUGGUUUAUUCCCCAUAUUACCAAUUAGUUUUAUGAUAGAACCUUAACUUUCUUAAAAAGCUAUCUUAAAUAGUCAAAACACGUAAAUCUCCUUGCACUAUACACUAAAUAAGCAUAAUACCAUAAAUCGUACUGGUGCACUGACUACUGAGGCCAUUCUUAAAACCAAAAUGCUGGACUGGAAUUCGUGAUAAGAACACCGGCCAAAGAAAGAUUUAUAACAAACAAAGGGAUCAGAAGCAAAGAAGUGAAUUAUACGUUGACGAAGCAAUCGUGGAAGUGAAGUCGAAUGAGGCUGGCAGCAAUCCGGGGAUCGGUCUGCAGAGCCUCUUGAAUGACUCCACGCACAAUGCUGGUGGCAUUCGGGCAUGAUGCAUCAUAAAACGUAGGAGUCAACUGAGCAUCACCACAUCCUGCACUUGCACACAAGAUUAGUAAGAUUACAAAAAUAUAUUUGUAACAAAAUUGAGCGCUACAAGAAGAAGGCAUCUUCUUAGGUGGUAAUCGAUUUUUCUAACUUAUGUUCC